UAUACUGCCCGCGCUUUGAGUGCCUAACAAGCGUUUGUUUUAGUUAAAAAACAAAUGGGAAGCUGGUGAAAAUCCAGCACUGCCCCCGCAACAGUAUGUGUUUAAUGUUCAAUAUGCCACCACUGCAACAUGUUGGUGGCAACCACUGCUUAAGGUUUAAGUGGGAAGGUUAUUGAAGAUAGGUCAGCACCGACCCAACACAAGUCUGGAUACCGACUCAAGGCUUUUUAUAACC
rnacentral:ncRNA from 2 species